GCUCCCAUGCCUUUAAUUAACAGAGGACAAUGCCUUAAAAAGAAGGCUUUCCCAAUGCAGAGAGCAACAUACUAACAGAUUGAAAUAAGCUCCACCAUCCAUCAUAAUUGUAGGCGAUAGGAAGAGAAUCUUGAUCAUCAAUCUACCCUCCUGCUCUUGUCAGCGCUGCUGUCCUCAGAUAAACAUAAUUUGUUUCUACUGUUUUUAUUUUCUGAAAAGAUUUGAAUAAAUGGAAACAUACAAGCUUU